AUGUCAAACAGGUCCUCAUCUUUAAUUGAAUCAUUGGAAAAAUCACCAAAAAUUUCUAAAAACCUCUCUCAUUCAUCUCUCUACACCUUCAUCCUCAUCACAAAAUUCUCUCUUGCCAUAACCGAGUUCUCUCUGAACUGCAUCAAAACCUUCAUCAUAAACUGCUUCAAUCAUCAUCUUCACUUCUCUGCUUCAUCAACAUCAAAUCAGCAACAAAUUCAUCAUUAUUUCUCAUCAACAGAAAUUCACAUUGUACCAUCGCAACAUCACAAACGCAAUAGAACAACACAACAUCACGAUUCAUAUAGAAACACACAAAAAACACAAAAUCGCAGAAGAAUAAUUGGAGAAGAGAAGAAGAGAAAAGAGCAAGCGAGUAACGUAUACCUGAGCCACGGUUGA